rnacentral:pre_miRNA from 1 species
AGAGUACUCCCUCCGUCUCAAAAUUCUUGUCUUAGAUUUGUCUAGAUACAAAUGUAUCAAGUCACAUUUUAGUAUUAGAUACAUCCGUAUCUAGACAAAUCUAAGACAAGAAAUUUGGGACAAAGGGAGUAGUUG